rnacentral:sRNA from 1 species
GUGCUGAUUUUUGCUUGCCUGGUGCCUGGUUUCCCAGCAGUCAUGUCAUCCAGGGGCCCUUGCACACUGGAGACACUCAUCAAUCCCAGCCCUAGUGUAGCUGAUGUAAAGAUAUAUCCAGAAGAAAUCACUCCACUCCUGCCAGCCAUAUCAGGGGAGAAGAUUGCUGAGGACCAAACCUGCUUUUUUCUUCAAAUACUGUUGAAGUAUAUGGUUAUUCAGGCUGCGAGCUUGGAGUGGAAGAAUAAGGAGAAUCAAGAUACUGGUUUUAAAUUUCUUUUUACAUUGUUUCGAAAGUAUUAUCUUCCUCAUUUAUUUCCAUCAUUUACUAAGUUAACAAACAUCUACAAACCUGUACUUGACAUCCCCCAUUUGAGACCAAAGCCUGUGUACAUUACUACAACUCGAGACAAUGAGAACAUUUACAGUACAAAAAUUCCAUAUAUGGCAGCUCGUGUUGUUUUUAUUAAGUGGAUUGUAACCUUCUUUUUGGAAAAAAAGUAUCUAACUGCAACACAAAACACUAAAAAUGGAGUUGAUGUAUUGCCUAAAAUCAUCCAGGUAUGCCAUUCAUCAUCUUUUUAUCUGUUAAUGCUUGUGUAAUAAAAUACACUGGAACAUAGCCAAA